CUGGACAGUAACUAAGACAGAGCCAUCUGGCUGCACUGAGCAUUGAUGCAGAGGAAGUUUUCCUUGGUUUGACUCAAGCUUGCUCUUUUUUUGGCAGAGGCUCAGGACCUGAGAUCUAAACGGAGUGGCUUACACCAUUUUUGUAGCUGGCGGAAUUUGGGGACAGGUAGAUGGGGUCAAGCCGGCACAGUAAGAAGAGCUGCUGCUUCCUGCUGGGCACCCGGACAGAGCGAGGAAACCUGAGCCUCCUCCCACCAGAGUGGGAAGCCGAGGGCUGCACCCAGUCAGCCACUAUCUAUGGACUGACACUUCUAAAGCCGUAAGCCAAAAGAAACCUCUCCAAAAAGAUCACCAAUUGUAGCCACCAAGGAUCACUAGCAACUUUCCAAAGAAGAGAAGCCCAGAGAUAAAAUACCAACUGUUGAAUGUCAAAAUCCAAAAGGAACCGUGAACCACAUAUUGGAUGCCAUAGGAAAUUAAAUCAGAGACUGUGAAGACAAACCCAAGAAAAUCUCCAAAAGCUUAGAAGAAAAGAUAAAGAAAUGAAAAUAUUAAGAUAUAUGUGAUCCCUGUAGAAUCCAAGAUGAGAAACAGAGCAU
rnacentral:lncRNA from 1 species